rnacentral:rRNA from 1 species
UACGAAGGGGGCUAGCGUUGUUCGGAAUCACUGGGCGUAAAGCGCACGUAGGCGGAUGUGCCAGUCAGGGGUGAAAUCCCGGAGCUCAACUCCGGAACUGCCUCUGAUACAGCACGUCUUGAGUUCGAGAGAGGAGAAUGGAAUUCCUGGUGUAGCGGUGAAAUGCGCAGAUAUCAGGAAGAACACCCGUGGCGAAGGCGGUUCUCUGGAACGCAACUGACGCUGAGACGCGAAAGCGUGGGGAGCAAACAGG